UGGGGAAUAUUGGACAAUGGGCGAAAGCCUGAUCCAGCCAUGCCGCGUGUGUGAAGAAGGUCUUCGGAUUGUAAAGCACUUUAAGUUGGGAGGAAGGGUUGUAGAUUAAUACUCUGCAAUUUUGACGUUACCGACAGAAUAAGCACCGGCUAACUCUGUGCCAGCAGCCGCGGUAAUACAGAGGGUGCAAGCGUUAAUCGGAAUUACUGGGCGUAAAGCGCGCGUAGGUGGUUUGUUAAGUUGGAUGUGAAAUCCCCGGGCUCAACCUGGGAACUGCAUUCAAAACUGACUGACUAGAGUAUGGUAGAGGGUGGUGGAAUUUCCUGUGUAGCGGUGAAAUGCGUAGAUAUAGGAAGGAACACCAGUGGCGAAGGCGACCACCUGGACUAAUACUGACACUGAGGUGCGAAAGCGUGGGGAGCAAACAGGAUUAGAUACCCGCGUAGUCCCUGAGCGGGCUGGCAAGGCGCAU
rnacentral:rRNA from 1 species